rnacentral:rRNA from 1 species
GUGGGGAAUAUUGGACAAUGGGCGCAAGCCUGAUCCAGCAAUGCCGCGUGGGUGAAGAAGGCCUUCGGGUUGUAAACUGCUUUUGUACGGAACGAAACGGUCCUGGCUAAUAUCCGGGGCUAAUGACGGUACCGUAAGAAUAAGCACCGGCUAACUACGUGCCAGCAGCCGCGGUAAUACGUAGGGUGCGAGCGUUAAUCGGAAUUACUGGGCGUAAAGCGUGCGCAGGCGGUGCUGUAAGACAGGCGUGAAAUCCCCGGGCUCAACCUGGGAAUUGCGCUUGUGACUGCAGUGCUGGAGUGCGGCAGAGGGGGAUGGAAUUCCGCGUGUAGCAGUGAAAUGCGUAGAUAUGCGGAGGAACACCGAUGGCGAAGGCAAUCCCCUGGGCCUGCACUGACGCUCAUGCACGAAAGCGUGGGGAGCAAACAGGAUUAGAUACCCCAGUAGUCC